AGAAAGAAAUGUUCAGCAGGAACAUUUAAAAAAGAAAUGGCCAAAAGACUGCGCUACCCACUGAAGAUGAUAUGAGCCAGACCCUGGCUCACCAAGAAUGACCAAAAUGUCUUGCAGGUACAUGGUGCACUAUGGCACACAGGAUGGAUGGACAUCGGCUGAGAAGACAUUUGUUGAGAUGACCAUGGUCAAAUAAAUCCUCAUACACAAAUACUGCUUAAAUACUAAAGUAAUUGAAUGCUCUGCAUUGUUGUGCAGCUCUGUGGAACACUGUUAGACACUUCUUUAAGAAGUUUCACUGAGAAGAGACACAUUUAUAAACUGUCUUUACACUACUAGCUGAAAUAGUCAGUUGUUACAGGUUGGUUAAGGCAAUCUGCAUUUUUUUUCUAAAGAGAUCACUAUUGUCAGAAAUGUCAAGUGUUAUCAUGAUUCUGUUCAAACUGUGCUUUAGAAAGUGCUGCUGUGGUGUACACUAAAGAUGGUGAUUUUAAUAAAGGCCUUUUUUCAACA